AGAGUUUGAUCCUGGCUCAGAGUGAACGCUGGCGGCAGGCCUAAUACAUGCAAGUCGAACGGCAGCACAGUGGAGCUUGCUCCAUGGGUGGCGAGUGGCGGACGGGUGAGGAAUACAUGGGAAUCUGCCCAGUCGUGGGGGAUAACGUAGGGAAACUUACGCUAAUACCGCAUGCGCCCUUCGGGGGAAAGCCGGGGACCGUAAGGCCUGGCGCGAUUGGAUGAGCCCAUGUCGGAUUAGCUAGUUGGCGGGGUAACGGCCCACCAAGGCGACGAUCCGUAGCUGGUCUGAGAGGAUGAUCAGCCACACUGGAACUGAGACACGGUCCAGACUCCUACGGGAGGCAGCAGUAGGGAAUAUUGGACAAUGGGCGCAAGCCUGAUCCAGCCAUGCCGCGUGAGUGAAGAAGGCCCUCGGGUUGUAAAGCUCUUUUGUCCGGAAAGAAAAGCACUGGGUUAAUACCCCGGUGUCCUGACGGUACCGGAAGAAUAAGCACCGGCUAACUUCGUG
rnacentral:rRNA from 1 species